GAUGAACGCUGGCGGCGUGCCUAAUACAUGCGAGUCGAGCGAACGGACGAGAAGCUUGCUUCUCUGAUGUUAGCGGCGGACGGGUGAGUAACACGUGGAUAACCUACCUAUAAGACUGGGAUAACUUCGGGAAACCGGAGCUAAUACCGGAUAAUAUUUUGAACCGCAUGGUUCAAAAGUGAAAGACGGUCUUGCUGUCACUUAUAGAUGGAUCCGCGCUGCAUUAGCUAGUUGGUAAGGUAACGGCUUACCAAGGCAACGAUGCAUAGCCGACCUGAGAGGGUGAUCGGCCACACUGGAACUGAGACCCGGUCCAGACUCCGACGGGAGGCAGCAGUAGGGAAUCUUCCGCAAUGGGCGAAAGCCUGACGGAGCAACGCCGCGUGAGUGAUGAAGGUCUUCGGAGCGGAAAACUCUGUUAUUAGGGAAGAACAUAUGUGUAAGUAACUGUGCACAUCGUGACGGUACCUAAUCAGAAAGCCACGGCUAACUACG
rnacentral:rRNA from 1 species